rnacentral:tRNA from 1 species
GGGGUUGUAGCUCAGUUGGUAGAGCAUCUGCUUUGCAAGCAGGGGGUCGUCGGUUCGAAUCCGAUCAGCUCCACCA